rnacentral:rRNA from 1 species
GGUGGGAGUGCUCGAAAGAGAACCGGCGCACAGGUGCUGCAUGGCUGUCGUCAGCUCGUGUCGUGAGAUGUUGGGUUAAGUCCCGCAACGAGCGCAACCCUUGUCCUUAGUUGCUACGCAAGAGCACUCUAAGGAGACUGCCGGUGACAAACCGGAGGAAGGUGGGGAUGACGUCAAGUCCUCAUGGCCCUUAUGGGUAGGGCUUCACACGUCAUACAAUGGUCGGAACAGAGGGUUGCCAACCCGCGAGGGGGAGCUAAUCCCAGAAAACCGAUCGUAGUCCGGAUUGCACUCUGCAACUCGAGUGCAUGAAGCUGGAAUCGCUAGUAAUCGCGGAUCAGCAUGCCGCGGUGAAUACGUUCCCG